rnacentral:lncRNA from 1 species
UUGCAGUGACUCCCAGCUAGUCGUCGGGCACAUUCAGGGCAUUUAUGAGGCCCGAAGAGAUAAUAUGGUGAAAUUCUUCCAGAAGAUCAGAGACCUGGCAUCUAUGUUUAAUAAAUUUGAAAUCCAACAGAUGUCCAAGUCGGAGAACUCUAGGAUCGAUUUGUUGUGUAAAUCGACGAUGUUGUUGCCACCCAAGUUGCCCAAGAAAUUUUUUUUUGAAGUGAUAAGCCAACC